rnacentral:SRP_RNA from 1 species
GCUGAGCUCACUAGCGUGAGCCUGUAACCCAAGUGGGAGCAAUAAGAUGAUUGGGACAAAUCAAAGCUUCAGGCCUUGACAUAAAUAGAUAGUUCAUUUGGUAUUAUGCGAUAUUGGUAUAAUAUGAAGUAUUAUUAUGCCAACAUUAAUAAUACUUUUAUAUAGCAGUCAUUUGG